GAUGAAGAACGUAGCGAAAUGCGAUGAGUAGUGUGAAUUGCAGAAUUCAGUGAAUCAUCGAAUCUUUGAACGCACAUUGCGCCCGCUGGUAUUCCGGCGGGCAUGCCUGUUCGAGCGUCAUUUCAACCCUCAAGCUCUCCGGAGUUUGGUGUUGGGGCGCCUGGGGCUUUUCGACCUCAGGGCCCUCAAGUCCAUCGGCGGGACCGCCAGGACACUGAGCGCAGUAGUAUUAUUUCGCUCGGUAGGAUCUUCCACGGCGGGUCGAUCUGGCCGCUAAACCCCCCAAUUCUCACCAAAGGUUGACCUCGGAUCAGGUAGGAAUACCCGCUGAACUUAAGCAUAUCAAUAAGCGGAGGA
rnacentral:misc_RNA from 1 species